rnacentral:rRNA from 1 species
AACGCUGGCGGCGCGCCUAACACAUGCAAGUCGAACGAGAAAGCGGGGGCAACCUCGCGAGUAAAGUGGCGUACGGGUGAGUAACACGUGGGUAAUCUACCCUUUAGUGGGGAAUAACGCUGGGAAACCGGCGCUAAUACCGCAUAAUCCCGGGAGGGGAAAGCAGCAAUGCGCUGAAGGAGGAGCCCGCGGCCGAUUAGUUAGUUGGUGGGGUAAAGGCCCACCAAGGCGAAGAUCGGUAGCCGGCCUGAGAGGGCACACGGCCACACUGGCACUGAAACACGGGCCAGACUCCUACGGGAGGCAGCAGUGGGGAAUCUUGCACAAUGGGGGAAACCCUGAUGCAGCGACGCCGCGUGAGCGAUGAAGCCCUUCGGGGUGUAAAGCUCUUUCGGCAGGGACGAUAAUGACGGUACCUGCAGAAGCAGCUGCGGCUAACUACGUGCCAGCAGCCGCGGUAAUACGUAGGCAGCAAGCGUUGUUCGGAGUUACUGGGCGUAAAGGGUGCGUAGGCGGUCCUUUAAGUUUGGUGUGAAAUCUCCCGGCUCAACUGGGAGGGUGCGCCGGAUACUGAAGGGCUCGAGUGCGGGAGGGGAGAGUGGAAUUCCUGGUGUAGCGGUGAAAUGCGUAGAUAUCAGGAGGAACACCUGCGGUGUAAACGGCUCUCUGGACCGUAACUGACGCUGAGGCACGAAAGCGUGGGGAGCAAACAG